rnacentral:lncRNA from 1 species
GAAGGCUGGAGCUGCUGUGGACAGAGCAGUGACCCCGGGCGUGCCUCAGGGGCAGGCUUGUCAGCUGCUCGUGGGGCUGUUGAGGUGAGAAAAAGGGAAGUGCUCAUAUUUGAGGAGGCAGUUUGGGGGACCAUUGCUACCCAGAAAGUUUCCAGCCUGAGUCUAAGCCCGGGCUGGGGCCGAAGCUGGCUGACUGAUAGGACGCCAGGCACCUGAGUCUGCUCCUGAUCUGGGACAGUAACGCAGGACCAUUAUUUUUGGUAUUUCGAUUGCUCUCGGCUCCGGAAGAGGACGGGCCCUUGUCCUAUCACAGACCUCAGUUCUAAGGGUUGGCCAACAGCUCUGACUUCCUGCCGCCCUCAGGCACAGGGCUUGACCUUGCUCAAGAAGAAUCUGUCUUCCAGCGGGUCUGACCUCAAAGAAGUCACCCACACCAGCAUACAUCCAACUGGAGAUGUGCUGAUUAAAAGGGCUGCUGCCAUCUGGAAGGCCCUUGCCCCACCCCAGCCCAAACCAAAAAAGCUUGCUUUUUCUUUUAGCUUGGAAUGUGACCCCCA